UACGGAGGGUGCGAGCGUUAAUCGGAUUUACUGGGCGUAAAGCGUGCGUAGGCGGCAUGUUAAGUCGGAUGUGAAAUCCCAGGGCUUAACCUUGGAACUGCAUCCGAAACUGGCAAGCUAGAGAUCGGUAGAGGUUGGUGGAAUUCCCGGUGUAGCGGUGAAAUGCGUAGAUAUCGGGAGGAACAUCGAUGGCGAAGGCAGCCAACUGGGCCUGAUCUGACGCUCAGGGACGGAAAGCAUGGGGUAGCGAAACGGGAUUCAGAUACCCCCGUAGUCC
rnacentral:rRNA from 1 species